UCGGAUAAUAAAAGGCACAGCAUAGAACUGUAGGCCAAAAACCUUAGGCUUACGAUAAUUAAGAUUGAAUUUAUGAAGAUUGAUAUACUUAGCUUAAACACCCCUAGAGACCACUGUGCUGAUUUCGGCUACGGGUAGCAUCCCUCGAUGGCAGCCCAACCAGUGGACACGUUAGCAGCGUGAACAUGCGGGACCCGAAAAUAUGUUGGUUUGCUUUCGCUGGUUAUUUAUAUGCAAGUCAGGACCUGGUCGAACGUAAUGGCGUCAGGAGCGAUUUCCGGACCCAUCAUCCCAUCAAUCGCCUCGCUGGUCACUAAUGGAAAAUCGGGCGAGCCACCCCCGUUUUACGGCUGGUGGAUGAUUUAACAGUCGGCUGGAAAAAUGGCUUAAAGCGGCUUAAAGCGAACGUCACAUAUGCCCCGAAAUACCCUACUUGCGCCAUAUUGAAGUAUUGAUCGAAUCGAAUACAACCCAAUCGAAUCAUUAAAUUGGUUCAUUU